CAGCAGUCGCCGCGGGAAUACGUAGGGUGCGAGCGUUAAUCGGAAUUACUGGGCGUAAAGCGUGCGCAGGCGGUUCGUUAAGACAGAUGUGAAAUCCCCGGGCUUAACCUGGGAACUGCAUUUGUGACUGACGGGCUAGAGUAUGGCAGAGGGGGGUAGAAUUCCACGUGUAGCAGAGAAAUGCGUAGAGAUGUGGAGGAAUACCGAUGGCGAAGGCAGCCCCCUGGGCCAAUACUGACGCUCAUGCACGAAAGCGUGGGGAGCAAACAGGAUUAGAUACCCGAGUAGUCCCUGUCUCUUAUAC
rnacentral:rRNA from 1 species